rnacentral:rRNA from 1 species
AACGAACGCUGGCGGCAGGCUUAAUACAUGCAAGUCGAGCGGGCACUUCGGUGUCAGCGGCGCACGGGUGCGUAACGCGUGGGAACAUGCCUUUAGGUACGGAACAACCAAGGGAAACUUUGGCUAAUACCGCAUAAUAUCUCUGGAUCAAAGAUUUAUCGCCUAAAGAUUGGCCCGCGUUAGAUUAGGUAGUUGGUGGGGUAAUGGCCUACCAAGCCGACGAUCUAUAGGGGGUCUGAGAGGAUGAUCCCCCACACUGGAACUGAGACACGGUCCAGACUCCUACGGGAGGCAGCAGUAAGGAAUAUUGGACAAUGGGCGAAAGCCUGAUCCAGCCAUGCCGCGUGAGUGAUGAAGGCCUUAGGGUUGUAAAGCUCUUUUAGAUGGGAAGAUAAUGACUGUACCAUCAGAAUAAGCCCCGGCUAAAUUCGUG